rnacentral:tRNA from 1 species
UACAUUUUAGUAUAUGAUGUACAAUAGCUUUUGAUGCUUUAAGAGAUAGUUUAAUUCUAUUAAAUGUAA